AGGGAUAUCAAUUCAGUCUGAUUGACUCUCUGCAGCUGGGGCAGAUUCUAAAGGAACUCUUGGCUGAAGGAUGUCUGCUGACUGUCCUCUCCAUACCUGGGCAGUUCAUCUCUGUGUCUAACCCACCAAGAUACACAAAAAAUUCUUGAGUGUGACCAUGAGAUGGAAUUCUUGCCAAUGAGUGGAGAAGUAAUAAAUGUCACUUUCCACCCUACUCCACUCAAGCUUUCCACACAGACCUCUCCAUUGUUGUCCUCCUUCCGAUGGAGAAUGCACAAGGACCUGUAUACAGGUCUCUAUGAAGAAGCCUGGAAAUUUCUCUCUGCUAUGCUUGCUAUUAGGUAGAUAACUUCAUCUUUGGGGAUAAAGAACAAGGAAGCCAAUAUAUUUUGAGCUUUUCUGCAUUCUGCAUGCAUGGACAUGUAAUAUAUUUAAUGGACUAAAACUCCUACUUAAAAACAAUAUUGUUUUUACUGUUUGCUUAAUGUCAACCCACUUUGUGACAUAUUUUUCAGGAACACAUUGUAAUAAAGGCUCUCUUGAAGUUCUU
rnacentral:lncRNA from 1 species